rnacentral:rRNA from 1 species
UACGUAGGGUGCGAGCGUUAAUCGGAAUUACUGGGCGUAAAGCGUGCGCAGGCGGUUUUGUAAGCCAGAUGUGAAAUCCCCGGGCUUAACCUGGGAACUGCAUUUGGGACUGCAAGGCUUGAGUACGGCAGAGGGGGGUAGAAUUCCUGGUGUAGGCAGUGAAAUGCGUAGAUAUCAGGAGGAAUACCGAUGGCGAAGGCAGCCCCCUGGGUCGAUACUGACGCUCAUGCA